UGGGGAAUAUUGCACAAUGGAGGGAACUCUGAUGCAGCGACGCCGCGUGAGUGAUGAAGGAAUUCGUUUCGUAAAACUCUGUUCUAUGGGAAGAAAAGGACUGUACCAUAGGAGAAAGCUUCGGCUAAAUACGUGCCAGCAGCCGCGGUAAUACGUAUGGAGCGAGCGUUGUCCGGAAUUAUUGGGCGUAAAGGGUGCGCAGGCGGCUUUACAAGUUGGAUGUGAAAUAUUGUGGCUCAACCACAAACGUGCAUCCAAAACUGCAAAGCUUGAGUUAAGGAGAGGUAAGUGGAAUUCCUGGUGUAGCGGUGGAAUGCGUAGAUAUCAGGAGGAAUACCGGUGGCGAAGGCGACUUACUGGACUUAAACUGACGCUCAGGCACGAAAGCGUGGGGAGCAAACAGG
rnacentral:rRNA from 1 species